GGUGAGAUGGCCGAGUGGUUAUGGCGCUGCGUUCAGGCAAAACCUGGACUUGAUAUCGUCAAAAUAUCAUGAAUUUCGCAGUGGAGCAAUCCGCGUGGGUUCGAGUCCCACUCUCAUCA